GAUGAACGCUAGCGGCAGGCCUAAUACAUGCAAGUCGGACGGGAUUCAGGAGCUUGCUUCUGAUGAGAGUGGCGCACGGGUGCGUAACACGUAUGUAACCUACCUUUAUCAGGGGAUAGCCUCUCGAAAGAGAGAUUAAGCCCGCAUAAAAUCACAGCACAGCAUUGUGUAAUGAUCAAAUAUUUAUAGGAUAAAGAUGGGCAUGCGGAACAUUAGCUAGAUGGCGGGGUAACGGCCCACCAUGGCGACGAUGUUUAGGGGAUCUGAGAGGAUGGCCCCCCACACUGGUACUGAGACACGGACCAGACUCCUACGGGAGGCAGCAGUAAGGAAUAUUGGUCAAUGGGCGGAAGCCUGAACCAGCCAUGCCGCGUGCAGGAAGACGGCCCUACGGGUUGUAAACUGCUUUUAUACGGGAAUAAACCCAGAUACGUGUAUCUGGCUGAAUGUACUGUAAGAAUAAGGAUCGGCUAACUCCGUG
rnacentral:rRNA from 1 species